GCCCGGAUGGCGCAGUGGUAACGUAAGUCCACUUCCGAUUGUAUACAAUAGGACCCAGUCAUUCUAACAACACUAUAGGCGUCGCACUUGUAUGAGUCUAUAACUCUCUCUCUUUAAAUGGUAUGUACAAUUUACAUAAUAUGUGCAACUUUUAUGCAGUUAGUUGAAUUGCACACGUAUCUAAUAUAUCAUGACAUCAUAUGCUAACUUACUAUCAGCGAAGAUCCCUAGUUCAAUUCUGGGUUCGGGCA